UGGGGUGUGGCUCAGCGGUAGAGCGCUCGCCUAGCAUGCAUGAGGCACUGGGUGCAAUCCUCAGCUCCACAU
rnacentral:tRNA from 1 species